AAAGAGGGGUGCUGGUGGAUGCUAUAUCUGGGAGUAAGUUUCCAAGAACGAGAGCGCCUGCACGCUUGCUGCUAGCUACUCGGCUCGCCCCCCACCUCACCCCCCAAGUGGAGAUUGGUCGUCUUGUCGGAUCGCCCAGGCACUUGUUGCCGAAACAGCCAAGGCUCUGGCUCUGGAGAGUGCUGAAGGAGGAAGACGCAGGAGCAAGGCAACCCUGAAGGAGUCACCAGACAUCUUAAUCCUGAAACAGACCCAGGUCUCUUCUUCCCGCCUGCUAGCAGCAUGAGAACAGCAUGACUGGCCAGCCGCAGGAGAAGCCCCCAGAGCCAGGCCCCCAACGCAGCCAUCCGCUACCAAGGUCAAGGUGUGAACGGCAUUUCCCCACCACAGUGGUGUCUGGUCCAUACCUCAGCCUGGGGGAGGAUGUAGACACCUCGGCUCUGCAGAUGAGUGGUUCAAACCGGCACGAACCCCUGCCUCCUGCCACCCUCACAGACAUGUCGGCCGUGGAGUAGGCUGGACACUU